rnacentral:rRNA from 1 species
AUUGAACGCUAGUGGGAUGCUUUACACAUGCAAGUCGAACGAGUGGCGGACGGGUGAGUAAUAUAUCGGAACGUGCCCAGUCGCGGGGGAUAACUACUCGAAAGAGUGGCUAAUACCGCAUACUAUGGGAACAGCCGAUAUGGGAUUAGCUAGUUGGGUGGGUAAAGGCUCACCAAGGCAACGAUCCGUAGCUGGUUGGAGAGGACGACCAGCCACACGGGGAAUGAGACACGGCCCAGACUCCUACGUGAGGCAGCAGUGGGGAAUUGUGGACAAUGGGGGCAACCCUGAUCCAGCCAUCCCGCGUGUAUGAGAAGGCCUUCGGGGUUUAAAGUACUUUUGGCAGAGAGGCGGUAUCUGCAGAAUAAGCACCGGCUAACUACGUGCCAGCAGCCGCGGUAAUAC